UACGAGAGGUGCAAGCGUUAUUCGGAAUUACUGGGCGUAAAGGGCGCGUAGGCGGCCUGCUAAGUCGGAUGUGAAAUCCCUCGGCUCAACCGAGGAACUGCAUCCGAUACUGGCGGGCUUGAAUUCGGGAGAGGGAUGCAGAAUUCCAGGUGUAGCGGUGAAAUGCGUAGAUAUCUGGAGGAAUACCGGUGGCGAAGGCGGCAUCCUGGACCGACAUUGACGCUGAGGAGCGAAAGCUAGGGGAGCAAACGGG
rnacentral:rRNA from 1 species